UUGGAUGUGGAAGCAUAGUGAUAUGUGAAGCUGACCAAUACUAAUUGCUCGUGAGGCUUGACUAUACAACACCCA
rnacentral:rRNA from 2 species